rnacentral:misc_RNA from 1 species
AAGUCGUAACAAGGUCUCCGUAGGUGAACCUGCGGAGGGAUCAUUAACAAAUUUAAUUUUCAAAAAUUAAAAAACUAAACACUUUUUAAUUUUUCAAAAUCAAAACACAACGCGAACGAAAUGACUGACCCCAUUGUCUAAGUGAAACCUAGCUUUUGUAGCUUAGCUUAGCUUAGCAGUGAGGCUUUUUUCUAAUUUAACGAAUUUCACUUCAAUUUUUUUUUCUUUUUCAAAGAAAAUCAAAAACUUAAUUAAUUAAUUUAUCAAAUGCGAGUUUGAGCGAUUAUUAAAGUUAAAUUUUAAUUUUCGAAUUUCUUUUAUUUUAUUAAAUGAAAUUCAACAAGUUAAUGUUAAAGUUAAUGUAAAGCACAACUCUUAGCAACGGAUAUCUUGGUUCUC